rnacentral:tRNA from 1 species
AUUUAAAUAGCUUAAUCUAGAGUAUAAUAUUGAAGAUAUUAAGGUAAUAUAUAUAAUUUUUAAAUA